rnacentral:rRNA from 1 species
UACGUAGGGUGCGAGCGUUACUCGGAAUUACUGGGCGUAAAGCGUGCGCAGGCGGUUUUGUAAGCCAGAUGUGAAAUCCCCGGGCUUAACCUGGGAAUGGCAUUUGGGACUGCAAGGCUCGAGUGCGGCAGAGGGGGAUGGAAUUCCGCGUGUAGCAGUGAAAUGCGUAGAUAUGCGGAGGAACACCGAUGGCGAAGGCAAUCCCCUGGGCCUGCACUGACGCUCAUGCACGAAAGCGUGGGGAGCAAACAGG